rnacentral:rRNA from 1 species
AUUGAACGCUGGCGGAAUGCUUUACACAUGCAAGUCGAACGGCAGCACGGACUUCGGUCUGGUGGCGAGUGGCGAACGGGUGAGUAAUGUAUCGGAACGUGCCCAGUCGUGGGGGAUAACGUAGUGAAAAUUACGCUAAUACCGCAUACGAUCUAUGGAUGAAAGCGGGGGAUCGCAAGACCUCGCGCGAUUGGAGCGGCCGAUAUCAGAUUAGGUAGUUGGUGGGGUAAAGGCCCACCAAGCAAACGCUCUGUAGCUGGUAUGAGAGGACGAGCAAGCACGCUGGAAGUGGGACACGGUACAGACUGCUAAGGGAGGCAGCAGUGGGGAAUUUUGGAAAAUGGGCGAACACUAGUUCCAGCCAUUCAGCGUGCAGAAUGAUGGCCCUCGGGUUGUAAACUGCUUUUGAACAGAACGAAAAGGUUUCUACUAAUACUAGGAGCUCAUGACGGUACUGUAAGAAUAAGCACCGGCUAACUACGUGCCAGCAGCCGCCGCGG